rnacentral:pre_miRNA from 1 species
GGGUUCCUAGGAAGAGGUAGUAGGUUGCAUAGUUUUAGGGCAGUGGUUUUGCCUAUAAGGAGUUAACUAUACAACCUGCUGCCUUUCUUAGGGCU